rnacentral:rRNA from 1 species
AGGACGAACGCUGGCGGCGUGCUUAACACAUGCAAGUCGAGCGGAAAGGCCCUUCGGGGUACUCGAGCGGCGAACGGGUGAGUAACACGUGAGCAACCUGCCCUUAGCUCCGGGAUAGCUCCGGGAAACCGGAAUUAAUACCGGAUACGACCACAGCCGACAUCUGCUGUGGUGGAAAGGAUUCCGGCUAAGGAUGGGCUCGCGGCCUAUCAGCUAGUUGGUGGAGUAACGGCCCACAAGGCGACGACGGGUA